UUUCGAUUUUGAUCAUCGGCCAUUUUUAAUAAACGUUUACUUUUGUCGAUUCAACAAUAAUUCCCUAUAAAUUCGGGUGCAUUUUUGAGGUGAUUCCACAGUUUAGUAAAGAAUUUCACAGCACCUUGUGUUCCAAUUGUCGACCAUUGCAUCGUGAAUACAACAUUUUCGAACGCGCUUUUUGUCAUUUUGCAGUGAAUGUGACAGUGUUGUUGAUUUAAUUUUCAUUACAAUGAAGAGGAGACGUGCAAAAAUAAAUUCAGCCUUUAAGAAAAAUACGGCAAAAUUGAACGACAAUGAAGAGUUGCGAUCGAUAAAACUGUCAGCGCCAUCGGUAUUCAAGUCUGAAUAUUCGGAAGCGCUAACAGAGCAUUUUUUCCAUAAAUGCUACAAUGGUACAGUAAUAUGCUACCUAGGUUCGACAUUGUUUUUAUAUGUUGUCAACCUUGCAGCAGAUAACGAUGAUCGGCAAUAUUUCAUUGACAGUGAUGGAAAAAAUGUUAUACGUGAGUGUUUCGUCGCCGUAUCACGAGAAAAUUUGGAAAAUCCAAAACAACCGAAAAUACCACGUGGAUUCCUUGAAAUGAUUGCCGAUGAUCAAUUUGAAUGGCCAAGUAGGUACCAAAUGGGCAACGCAUUUGAAUACUUGAA